AGUGGAGUGCCUGAAGGAGAUUUUCACGGGAUGCAGCCGGGACCGGGACCAGAACCAGAACCAGAACAACCCCCCCGAGGCCGAGAGCUGCCCCAGCCCCAGCGCCAGCAACGGUGACUCCGGCAGCAUCAACGGCUCCUUGGAAUUCCGGGCGGAUCCGGACGCUGGGCAGAGGGACGGGAAUGGGAACCAGGUCCCGCCGAGGGGAUCCCAGGAGGUGA